CCUAAAAUGAGCAAAUAAGCUGUGCAUCAUCUCUGUGAUUUGGGAAGGAAAUGACUGAAUAUGAUGAAGCCAAUUGAUGAAGAUAUCAAUUGAAUGGCCACCGAGUGCAUCACUGCUACCUGAACCCAUCAGUUAUCUUCUGUGAAGACUGCAUUCACAAACCGCUCUACUGCGACAGCUCAGAUGUUACGGCCUGUAAAAGUAAACAUCACAGCUAAACAACGAGAGCUAGUUGUGGUGGGAUUCUUUUGGCCAAUAUCCCCAACAAGAAUCAAUGACAUCUAGACCAGGUGGAGUGUGAGGAGGACCGUCAGAGACUCCAGCCAGCCGAGCCAUGGAUUGCUCUCACUGUUACCAUCAGGCAGACGUUAUCACAGAACCUACACCAGCAGACAGUGAGACAAGUUCCUUUCACAGGCAAUCAGACUGAACUGAACUCAUACCAGUAAAACCAUACACACCCCACCAACCUCAUAUGCCCUGCACUCUUAUCAGUUAUGCUGACUGGACUCAAUAUUAUUAUGCACCCUGACAUUCUGUUUGCACUAAUUCAUACCGUGCUUUACUGCAGAGAUGUAUGUGUACUGUGAUUAUUAUUGUUUUCAAUUCAUGCUCUUUGUAUAGCAUAAUUUUUAACAUAUAUUGUUCUCUACCUGAAUUGAGUCCCUUAUAUAUGUGUGUUGCAUAUAUAUAUAUUCAGAAUUUGUAUUUCAUAUAUAUUCAUGAAUUAAUUCAUUUGUCAUCCAUACUGUCACGCUGCAGUCUGCACCCAAGACUUUCAUCACCUGUAUACUUGUGUUCAUUGUAUUGUGACAAUAAAGAUAUUUGAUUUAAAUUA